AGAGCGAACGCUGGCGGCAGGCUUAACACAUGCAAGUCGAGCGGAUGUAGCAAUACAUCAGCGGCAGACGGGUGAGUAACACGUGGGAACGUACCUUUUGGUUCGGAACAACACAGGGAAACUUGUGCUAAUACCGGAUAAGCCCUUACGGGGAAAGAUUUAUCGCCGAAAGAUCGGCCCGCGUCUGAUUAGCUAGUUGGUGAGGUAAUGGCUCACCAAGGCGACGAUCAGUAGCUGGUCUGAGAGGAUGAUCAGCCACAUUGGGACUGAGACACGGCCCAAACUCCUACGGGAGGCAGCAGUGGGGAAUAUUGGACAAUGGGCGCAAGCCUGAUCCAGCCAUGCCGCGUGAGUGAUGAAGGCCCUAGGGUUGUAAAGCUCUUUGUGCGGGAAGAUAAUGACGGUACCGCAAGAAUAAGCCCCGGCUAACUUCGCGCCAGCAGCCGC
rnacentral:rRNA from 1 species